rnacentral:lncRNA from 1 species
GUGCAACAAUCAAAUACUGGUACUGGAUUACAAGCUUUUCGUCCCUGGAACACCCAUCGUGGACGGCACGCUUUGGCUUUACGAACAAAUUCCAAUGUACACAAGAAAGAAAGAUAUUAGCCAGGAACUCCGUGACAAUAGGUACUGGGCAAGCUACAAUAUCGCCUAUUUCCCCGACAUCUUCGCCAUCAGUGAACAACUUCCCUUAGUGGAGCAGUACGGCGACAUCUAUACAUUCGAGAACUGCCCACGUGCCAAGAUCUUCAGGCGAGAUCACGCCAAGGUCAAAGACAUGGACUCCAUGUUAAAAUUGAU